UCUGGACCAGACAUGAUGAACAAUCUAACUGGUGUCCUUAUACGCUUCCGAAAAAAUCCAAUGGCGCUGAUGUGUGACAUAGAAAAAAUGUUUCAUCAGUUUAAAGUCCAAGAGAGUGAUCGUAACUACCUCCGCUUCUUAUGGUGGAAAAAUGGAGACUUAAGUGCACAACCACAAGAGUACAGGAUGACAGUACAUCUCUUUGGUGCAGUGUCUUCCCCAGGAUGUGCAAACUAUGGAUUAAAACAUCUGGCUCAGGAGAACAGACUCACAUAUCCUUUAGGUGCACACUUCAUCACCAGAGACUUUUAUGUAGAUGAUGGUGUUGCCAGCACAGAGACAGUGGAAAAGGGCAUACAACUGGCACAAGAGGCACGUGAACUGUGUGCUAAAGGUGGUCUGAGACUCCACAAGUUUGUGUCAAACAACAGUGUGAUUCUGGACAGUAUACCAGCAUCAGAACAUGCAACAGACAGCACAACAAAGAACCUUGCGUUCUGUGAGAAGCAAAUCGAGAGAGCACUAGGUAUUCACUGGGACAUUAAAGAAGACUGUUUUACAUUCAAUAUCACACUGAAAGACCAACCUCCCUCACGACGUGGAAUAUUGUCCACAGUUGCAUCCAUAUAUGACCCCCUUGGUUUUGUCGCCCCCUACCUUCUCAGUGGGAAAAGAAUCUUACAAGAAAUGUGUCACAGUGGUACUGGUUGGGAUGAGCCUCUGUCUGAGCAUCUGAAGCCAAGGUGGGAGCGUUGGAGAAAGGAUCUCAUCAAUCUGGAGAAAAUACACAUUGCAAGAUGUUAUGUGCCUGAUAACUUCGGAGAAGUGGUAAAAAAGGAACUGCAUCAUUUCUCAGAUGCGAGCACUACUGGUUAUGGACAAUGUACUUAUCUGAGACUCUUGAACAAACAAGGAGAAGUUCACUGUGUUUUCAUCAUGGGUAAGUCUCGCGUAGCUCCUACUAAGGUGACCACUAUUCCAAGGCUAGAACUCACAGCAGCAGCAGUCUCAGUAACAGUGAGCAACAUGCUCAAAGAAGAGCUAGUGUAUGGUGAUGUGGAAGAGUUCUUUUGGACAGAUUCCAAAGUCGUCCUGGGAUAUCUGAACAAUGAAGCAAAACGUUUUCACACGUUUGUUGCAAACAGAGUACAGAAGAUUCGCAACAGUACAAAGCCUGAGCAGUGGUUUUAUGUUUCCACCAAUGACAACCCUGCAGAUAAUGCAUCCAGGGGAACAACAGUGGAAGAACUGCUGUCAUCAAAUUGGCUUGUGGGUCCUCAGUUCCUGUGGGAAAGAAAAAUUCAUCCUCCAGCAAAGGUGACUGUGGAACUUCCAAUCGGGGACCCAGAAGUUAAAAAGGUUCAAGCACUGCAAACUGUGACUGGAAAAGUGAGUCUCACCGACCGUCUGGUGAAGUUUUCAUCAUGGUCUCAGGUUGUGAGCGCUGUGGCACGUCUCAGACGGAGACUCCUAAAGGAUAAGUCAAGUGCACACUCCACUGUGAGUGAAAGAGAAAAUGCAAAGCUUGUGAUCAUCAGAGAUCUACAAAGACAAGCAUAUCAUGAAGAAAUAAAGACAUUAAGUAAAGAGAACCGGCUACCAAGGAACAACAAACUAUAUCAUCUGGAUGUCUUUUUAGACAGAGAUGGUGUACUCAAGGUGGGAGGAAGACUCAGUUGUUCAAAUCUUCCCAGCUCAUGCAAGCACCCAACAGUAAUUCCCAGAGAGCAUCAUAUCACAAAACUGAUAAUUGCUCACUGUCAUGAAAGGGUUAAACAUCAAGGUAAAGGCUUCACGGUCAAUGAAAUCCGAUCCAGUGGCUAUUGGAUCCCAGGAUUAAGUCGGUGUGUUACAUCCUACAUUCGCCAGUGUGUGGUUUGUCGGAAACUAAGAAGACCUGUGGAAGGACAAAGGAUGAGCGAUCUUCCAAAAGAAAGGAUUGAACCUUCUCCACCUUUUACACACUGUGGCAUGGAUUGUUUUGGUCCAUUCCUGACUAAACAAGGAAGAAAGGAACACAAAAGAUAUGGCCUGCUCUUUACAUGCUUUUAUUCUCGUGCCAUUCAUGUUGAAAUGUUAGAGGAUCUGUCAACUGAUGCUUUUAUCAAUGGUCUACGCUGCUUUAUUGCAUUAAGGGGCUCAGUCAGACAAAUCAAAUGUGAUCAGGGUACCAACUUUGUAGGUGCCAGAAAUGAACUGAAUGCAGCACUCCAGGAAGUUGAUGCUGAGAGACUGUCAACCUUCCUUGCAGAAAACCAAUGUGACUUUGUAUUUAAUGCACCACAUGCAAGUCAUGCUGGUGGAGUAUGGGAGCGACAAAUAAGGACUGUAAGAAAUGUUUUGAAGUCUACACUCUUACUCUCUCCUGGUAGACUCAAUGACUCCUCCCUAAGGACUUUAUUAUAUGAGGUUGCUGCAAUCGUGAACAGUCGCCCUCUUACAACAGACAACCUGGAUGAUCCAAACAGUUUGGAACCCCUAACUCCAAAUCAUCUCAUCACCAUGAAAGCCACCCCAGCAUUACCUGCCCCAGGCAAGUUUGUGAAAGAGGAUUUAUAUGGAAAAAAGAGAUGGCGCCAAGUGCAAUAUCUGGCUGAACAGUUUUGGAGCCGAUGGAGGAAGGAGUAUCUCCAUAACAUCACAACCAGACAACGAUGGCACACACCUAAGAGAAAUAUCCAAACAGGUGACAUCGUGAUGGACACGGAUGAAACACAGCCAAGAUCUGUGUGGAGACUGGGAAGAGUCUCAGAAACUGUGGUAGAUAAAGAUGGACUUGUCAGGAGAGCCAAGAUAUUCCUUGGAGAUAAAAAUCUGAACAAAAGAGGUGAACGUAUAGGCAAAGCAUCUGUGGUAGAACGCCCAGUUCAUAAGUUAGUUCUGUUGCUAGAAGCACCUUAAGUAUGAGUGAAAUAUAAAACUAAAGGCUCAACUGUACAUGUGUUCCAUAAAAGGUCAUUUCAUGUUAAGAAAUUAUUUAUGUUUUAAGUUGACUUGUUGGUAAAACAUUUAAUAAUUUGGUGGGAGUGUAAAUGACCCAAAUUCAUCCUAGUUAAAAUAUUCAGUUUUAUUUUGAAAUGUACGUCUUGUGUUGUAUGAUGCCAUUUCCUGUGUUAAAGGAAGUCUUUUAUUUUGAAAAGGUCCCAACGCGCGUAGCGAACAAAAAAAAGUAAAUACACACGGUAACGAUGGUAACGACAUACGGAGAAAGAACUGAUAAAAGGGUAUAAAAGAAAAACGUGAGAAUAUCAAGGAAUUUAGCGCCAGUUGAAUGUGGCAACAAGGAGCAUUUGCUCCACAUGCAGGCUCUGGAUCAGAGGGCCCAGGAGACCAACCUUGAGAACUGGCUCAACCCCCACUGCUACCCUCGCUGUGACAGGAACUACGGAUACCCCGUCUG